CAGCCGCCACGGGAAUACGUAGGUGGCAAGCGUUGUCCGGAAUUAUUGGGCGUAAAGGGCUCGCAGGCGGUUUCUUAAGUCUGAUGUGAAAGCCCCCGGCUCAACCGGGGAGGGUCAUUGGAAACUGGGAAACUUGAGUGCAGAAGAGGAGAGUGGAAUUCCACGUGUAACGGUGAAAUGCGUAGAGAUGUGGAGGAACACCAGUGGCGAAGGCGACUCUCUGGUCUGUAACUGACGCUGAGGAGCGAAAGCGUGGGGAGCGAACAGGAUUAGAUACCCGGGUAGUCCCUGUCUCUUAUAU
rnacentral:rRNA from 1 species